rnacentral:rRNA from 1 species
ACGUAGGUGGCAAGCGUUAUCCGGAAUUAUUGGGCGUAAAGCGCGCGCAGGCGGUUUCUUAAGUCUGAUGUGAAAGCCCACGGCUCAACCGUGGAGGGUCAUUGGAAACUGGGGAACUUGAGUGCAGAAGAGAAAAGCGGAAUUCCACGUGUAGCGGUGAAAUGCGUAGAGAUGUGGAGGAACACCAGUGGCGAAGGCGGCCUUCUGGGUCCGCCCUGACGCUGAGGCGCGAAAGCGUGGGGAGCAAACAGGA